rnacentral:lncRNA from 1 species
CCCCGCGAGAUGGCGCUGAGGGAGAGGCCGAGGCGGGAGAGCAGCAGCCCCUCAGGGACGGGACCCUCUAGGGCGGGCCCAGACCUCGUCCUACAGAGACAGGAUCUCCUCUAUCCUGUCCCCUCUGUAAAAGGACCCCCGUUCCCUUGGUGUGGGGCACAAAGUUCUCUCAGUGACCGGAUCCUCAUUCCCUCAGCGGGCUUCAUAACAGAAAUGUUCAGACUGGAGGGAAUUUGGAUGUUCUGUGUGGAUGCACCAGAAGGAACAAAUGGCAGAGAAGGGCUACACAAGCAGCACAUUCUGGUGGCACCUGGCAGAACAAGCCAGUGA